UACGGGGGGGGGUAAGCGUUGUUCGGAAUUACUGGGCGUAAAGGGCUCGUAGGCGGCCAACUAAGUCAUACGUGAAAUCCCUCAGCUUAACUGGGGAACUGCGUGUGAUACUGGAUGGCUUGGAUUUGGGAGAGGGAUGCGGAAUUCCAGGUGUAGCGGUGAAAUGCGUAGAUAUCUGGAGGAACACCGGUGGCGAAGGCGGCUUCCUGGACCGACACUGACGCUGAGGCGCGAAAAGCUAGGGGGAGCAAACAGG
rnacentral:rRNA from 1 species